GGGGCGGUAGCUCAGCUGGCCAGAGCGCUGCGUUCACAUCGCAGAAGUCGGGGGUUCAAGUCCCUCCCGCCCCA
rnacentral:tRNA from 12 species